AAUGUCUGCUUCAAAUUGGAUGGCACUGCAGCUGGAGGCUUUGUUCAGAAUUGAUCCUGGGGAGCUACGAACCCAAAGUUUCACAGUAGGAAGGGGGAAAAAAGAAAAGAAAACAUUUUUCCUAAUGUAACAAUGCGAAUGCUAGAAAAUGACAAGACUGAUCGGUUUUAAACCAUUCUGAGACUGACUGAGCGUGGAAGUUGCUCAACAAAAAAAGGAACGGGUAUAUUGUUGCUGAGACAGAAGGAAAACCCACUUCUUUGGAGGAGCAUGACCUUUUCCUAUAUUGCUUCUCACUGGACUUCCUGAAUCCUGGCCCCAGACACCAUCAUCAAGAAGACCUUAUGGAUGUGCUACCUAUCCCCUGAGAGAAGAGGAACAUCAACGGCAGUUUCUAAAGAGAUUGCCUUCUUCAUUUCAAGUAAUGGCUGCAAUCAGGGUCAGAUUAAAGACAGACCAGCUGGACAACUGCUUGGAGGACCAACCUACGAGGGCACUAAAAUGUCCAUAGUAUGCUAACACGUACUUUAUAUUUCCAUGGAAAUAUAAAGAGAGGAAAAUGAUACUAGCACUAAUUUUAGGGAGAAGCCUGUCCUCUAGUAAAGAUCUGGCAAGUAGUAGUUUGAUGGAAACACUAAUUUAUUAGCCUACAUGUCUCUGCACUCUAGGGCUUGAAAGUGAAAACAUAAUCAGAGACUAUCUUCCAGUUCUAGGAUGUUAGCCCUUAUUAUAUCUUCCUUCACCUGGAGGUAAAUGUUAACUAACACAUUUAACUAACAUAGAUCAAAUCAAAUAGAGCUUGAACUCCCUGCCUAUGGGCUGGUUGAUUGGACUCUGUGUUGAGUUAAUUAGAUCAAUGGAGACACUGGGUGGAGUUGAGAUCUUUAAAAAUAUUUGGCUGAAGGGUGAUAUUACUGGGUAUUUGUAGAUGAGGACAUCAACAAACAUUCUUAGAAUCAUGAAAUAUGGAACCGGUGGUCACAUUAAAAAUUUCAGCUAGUAGUUAAGUACUUAUUGGACACCAGAGACUUAGGUAUAAGAUAGACAUGGUUCCUACAUCAAGGAGCUCACAUUCUAGAUUUCUCUUGGAUAUGAAGAGCAGUGGCCAUAGCAAACAACUGAACACAAAGGUAUUCUUGAGUCCAGGAUUCCAUUUAACAUAUUAAUUCCUAUUGCCUUAAUCAAGCCUAGUGAGCAUACAUUUAUAAGACUUACCAGUCUGCACUCUAUAAAUGCUCUGUGAACCUGCCUAGAUUGUUUCCCUAGCAAGCUGCGUAAAGUCCCAUGGUGCCAGAGGAAGGGGGUAUGGUUAGUUAGAGAUUCUGGGGAGAGAGAUAUCAAGUGACAUGGGUCAGGAAAAAUGAAGAGAUAGAAUUUGGGAAGCAACUAUUGCUUCUGUUUCAUGUGGGGAAACUGUAGUGUGAAAAAUGCUAGGCUGGGAACUUUGAGACCUAGAUCUUUAUUCUAAUACAAACAAGCUGUGUGACUGUGGGCAGUCCACUUGGGGGCUUCUUGGGCCAUCCAAGACCCCUUCCAGCUCUAAAAAUGUUAACAUCAGGCCCCAGUCUACUGGACAACUGGCAAAUUUCUAACUCAGCUGUUCUUAAGCUGUUAGGUUAGUAGAUCUGCAACAGUCACUUGAUUGAUUGAUUUUUGGAGGACUUUUUAUCAACCUUACAAGAUACAAUAAAUCUGCUUCUCCCCUUAGGAGUUGAGCAGGUUCUAGAAACACACCCUGUAGAGCUCAGAGAGGCUUCAUUCCUUCCUUUACCCUUUAUUCUCCUUCCUUUACCCUUUAUUCUAUCUGUGCCUCUCUCCCUCUCCUUUCCUUCAUCACACUUCCUUUGAGCAUAUACCACAUGAAAUGUACCAGGUGUGUGCUAGGUUUGGAGAUACAAGCUAAACUUGACAUUUCCCCACACUCCCACACUCCUUUCACAGGAGAGGGUACAAAACCCUCCUUGCUUUCAUCUGCUGGUGUUUCUUUUAGUGAGAAUCAGCCAUGUCCCAGGGGAGUGUGCUGGCGGUACUGCUGGGGUAAUGAGCUCUGGGCAGAUGUCCCAUUCUGCUCAAGCAGUUUUGAGGUGCCUUGACAUAUGCCCCUAGGCAAUCACUUAAACCCAGGGUCCAGAAAAAAAGGAAGAGACAAUCAUUUACUUCUUGGGAUAAAUCUGUAAAGGGACAGUCCUCUAUACAGUGAUGGCCACUGUCUGUCAUACCUCUUGCAACCCUCUCUGCCCAGGUGGGGAGAAUGUAGGUGAUUACUGCCUAAACUUAAAAAAAAAUACCUCUUUAAUAGAUAGACAUCUUUCAUUAUACUGUGCUUUAUAUUUCAUUAUGACCAGUGGCCUUUUUAAAUAUAUAUAUUUUAUAUUUUUCAAGAUCAGAUGGCUGAUAGGACUUAGAAGAGAAACAAAGAGCUUGGUAACUCACAUAAGUGGAAAGUUGACCAUGGAAUAAUCGACAGCAUAUUCAAAUAUCUUAGUGAGUGCUAGAGGAGCUGCAGCAGAAAAGGAAACAUUCUGUCAACCAUCUCAUAUUUCCAAAUAUCUGGAUACUGGCCAUUGUGAAGACAAAAACUACAGAUGAUGCAUCUUUCCAACUCUCAUCUGCAUGGUCUGAAGUCUUGUAGCUCCAGCUGUUGACUCUAAGCCAAUUUACAUUUGUUUUCUUUAGCCCUCUUAAGAGAAAAUAAAAAUCUUAUUUUUCCAAGCAAUUAAAACUUCUGCUUCAGCUAGAAUGAAAGAAUUAGGAGUUAUUUCUCCUUGUGUAUAAUUGCAUGUUUCAUUUUUGUUGUUUAAUGAUUGACAGAAAACUGAUAAACUGAGACAUCUUUGAAUCAGGUUGAAUGUACUCUCUUGGUGGCUCCAUUGCUAAUUUGUUUGACUAUUUCACAGCAUAUUUUGCUCUGUAAUGGAAAGGUUUAUUAAAUAUGAGGGGCGCAAAGCUGUCUGAAUACUAAUGAACUUAUUUGCCAAAAUUUAAAUGUUCCUUCUUAUUAGGAAAUGCCUGUCUCACUUAACAGGAUCCAAAUUGAAUAAUGAAGAAAAUUAAACUAUA